UACGGAAGGCAGCAGUGGGGAAUAUUGCACAAUGGGCGCAAGCCUGAUGCAGCCAUGCCGCGUGUAUGAAAAAGGCCUUCGGGUUGUAAAGUACUUUCAGUCGUGAGGAAGGUGUUAAGGUUAAUAACCUUAGCAAUUGACGUUAGCGACAGAAGAAGCACCGGCUAACUCCGUGCCAGCAGCCGCGGUAAUACGGAGGGUGCGAGCGUUAAUCGGAAUUACUGGGCGUAAAGGGCACGCAGGCGGUUAAUUAAGUUGGAUGUGAAAUCCCCGGGCUUAACCUGGGAAUGGCAUUCAAGACUGGUUAGCUAGAGUCUUGUAGAGGGGGUAGAAUUCCAUGUGUAGCGGUGAAAUGCGUAGAGAUGUGGAGGAAUACCGGUGGCGAAGGCGGCCCCUUGGACAAAGACUGACGCUCAUGUGCGAAAGCGUGGGGAGCAAAC
rnacentral:rRNA from 1 species